CAUCCAUGGGUAUAUUAUCACAGUCACCGCUAUCAGCAGAGUGUGUAUGGAUGCAUGCAUAUCAUGCUCCCGUGCCGUUUAUGAAUAUACGCCCGACUAUCGAGAAGCAUGCAUUUGGUCGUGGCAUCUUCUUAACGAGCUCAUAUAGGCCCUGAUCUCGGACAGGAGGAUUAUUAGAUACCGUGUUAUUGGUGUAUUAGUACAGAUUGAUGUGUGCAGGUGUAUUUGAAGGGCUUCGAUCUCCUUGUUUUGAAAUAUCAGUGUUUUGGUAAAGUGUGAUAUUACAAGGGUGAUAAUUGCUCAGUGUCACAUGACCAGCCACACCCUGUGCUGAGACGAACCAGUGGAGGGCAUUGACUGCAUCACCUUGAGAAUCUGCCUUCUCUUGUCUGUUACCACGGCAACUGUUUCAAGGAGGGUAACUUAUCGGAACAAGCUGCGGAAAAUCAACUUGUGGCUAAAUCUUUUACUGCAACUUGACUGUUGAUGCUAAACCUUGAGUAGUGGUGUUUCAACUUCCUGUAUUAUCGUCACCAUUGCUACAGUCACGGCCACAGUGAGGAUGGGGGAGUUUGCAGGGGGUAAUUCCGUGGAUAGGUGGACCUGUCCUAAUGAUAGACAGCUGGCUCUCAGAGCAAAACUUGGAACAGGCUGGUCCUUUCAUACAAAUUCUGC